rnacentral:lncRNA from 1 species
CAAGUUCCCAAUCAACCUUCUCUUCCUUUUCUUCUAUUUUCCUUUUCAUUGGCGGCCAGUUUCCUCUCCUUCCAUUUCUCCCUGCUCUAUCAGCUCGAGAGAUCCUCUUCUGUUCAUUGCGGCUAGGGUUUAACCGAACCCAGCUAUCUUUUUAUCCUUUUAAAAUAGAUCUGUUAUAUUUAUAAUAAUGGCCGUGAAUGAGGAGUUCAAUUAAGGAUUUGUGCUUUUGAUAUAUCUGAAAAGGCUAGGGUUUUUCUUCUGGUGGCUGCAAAAUGGCGACAGCGAAUCCAUUGGAUUUGUUGGGAGAUGAUGAUACGGAGGACCAGUCGCAUCUUAUUCAAAAGAUUGAGCGGAAGAAAACCCUAGCUCCCUCGACGCUGCCCAAGCAUCAGCCGCAAACUACGUCGGCUGCUGAAGCAAUGAGUGCUAAGCUUCCUUCGAAGCGUCUUCCCUCGACUUAGGCUGGUCAGUUGCACUCCUCUAUUACUUCUUUUAUUUCUAUUGUAAAUUUGAAAAAGAACGGAAAAAUUUCAAAGAUUUUGAUUAAUUUUUAAAUAUUUGAUGUCUUGUUUCUCUUGUAUGAACAUUGAUUAUUAUAUUGGUAUUUGCUUUAGGGAGUUUAAGACUUAUUAGAGAUUUUUUUUAAAUAUAUUUUUGAAUGUGUUUUUAUUCAAUUUAUGUAACAAUAUAUUCAAGUAAAAGUGUAAAACUGCUAUGCUUUGAAGUUACAGGAAUUAACAUAUGAUUUACUUUGGACCUCUAAUCUCAAUAACAGUAAAACCAGUUUAUCUCCAUUUGCUUUACUCCUACAGUAUACGUUGUGAAUUCGUUGAUGAAAUUUAUGGACCUACAUCGCUAAUACCUUGAAAACGAUGAAUCUACUUUUAUAAAAUAAAGAUCGUGCUUUUAAGAAGCUAUAAAUAUGAAAUAAAAUGUGAAGGUUGUAAUAGUUUUUCAACUUUACAAAUUCUUAAGUACAUUGAAGAUAUUAAAUAACACUAUUGUUUUUAAAUCAUCCAUGUCAUCUGUUGAAGUUUUUUCUGUUAUUAGUUAGUCAAAAUUCAACGUUAAAUUUUCCCCCUUAUGAUUUUAAACUUUUAUGAUAGGCACGCUACCAAUUAGCUAGGUUCACUGCUAUAUUUAGUGGAAGGUUGUAAAAAGAAUGGACGUGAAACUGUUAUGUUUAUUCUGUUAAAAAUUGGGAAUUUGCUUCUUAGGUGGGUUAACAAGAUUUUAAUUGGGAACUUGCUUCUCCAGUUGGCACCUUAAGGGGCCCCACAUCAAUUUUAGGUUUCAAGGCAAGGGGACUAGGCCCUGCUGAGCCUAGAAGGCAAGAAAGAAGAAACUCUAAUAAUGAAAACUCUGAUACAUUUACUGGAGUGGAUUUUAUUGGAGGAGACCUUGCUGUCACGGCUUUUGCAGACUUAUCUUUUGAUCUUUCCUUGAGGGUGCUUAGAGAAGCUAGUAUCCAUGGCCAUGCUUUUGCCUGCACACUAAAUUAACAGAGAAUGCAUAUGAAGAAUUGUGGUUGCCAAAAUUACAAGCACAUAAACAUGUCAAGAAUGCAUAUCCUUUGUAUCUGUUGACUCCAAAAAGUGUUGCCAACAGAUGCCGGACCCACCUGCGCACACGUGAGCGAAGGUCCUACACGCUAAGACACUUGGACGGUCUAGAACAAACAAAUCAGGGGCGUGGGAGUAGCUCAACGACGUGGGAUGAGAACUUUCGGAAUCCAGCAGGAUGCUCUUAAUAUGAUUGUACAAUAAUUAUCAAUCGAUGUUUGUAAAUGUAUAUCUAAAUAUGUAUGAACUCAUUUGUGUUGCAAGAUAAUAAGAAAGAGAG